AGAUCGGUUUAGGGGUUCAGGAAUUUCCUGGAAGUCUUAUUUUUGCCCCACCGUGCACAUAGUCCCAUGCCCAAAACAGUUCCAUACACUCGACAACAAAACACUGCUGGACAAUUUAAGAUGGCCGCCACCGCAUGUUUGAAUCUGUUCCAGUUAAAAGUCCAAGGGGCAAAAACAGUACUUUUGAACAUGGGUUAUCACAGGGCCCAUA